UUGGCUCAGGAUGAACGCUGGCGGCGUGCCUAACACAUGCAAGUCGAACGAAGCACUGGAAUUGAUUUCUUCGGAAUGAUUUUUCUUUGACUGAGUGGCGGACGGGUGAGUAACACGUGAGCAACCUGCCUUUCAGAGCGGGAUAGCAGUUGGAAACGACUGAUAAUACCGCAUGACAUGUCUCUUCCGCAUGAGAGAGACMUCAAAUGAUUUUUCGCUGAAAGAUGGGCUCGCGUCCGAUUAGGUAGUUGGUGAGGCAACGGCUCACCAAGCCGACGAUCGGUAGCCGGACUGAGAGGUCGAUCGGCCACAUUGGGACUGAGACACGGCCCAGACUCCUACGGGAGGCAGCAGUGGGGAAUA
rnacentral:rRNA from 1 species